UUAUUUUCUGAAAACAGGGCGGUAAAUUAAAUUUUAUAUUAUAAUGCAUAAGUAUUUUAAUGGGACGAUAAGACCCUAAAAGCUUUACUUAUUAGAGGUUAUAAUGGUUUUUAUUAAAGUAUAAGUUAGGUGCGGUUUUACUGGGGUAGUAACUCAAUAUGUACUUGUGUGAUGGUUAAAUUGCAAUUAAGCAUUGAAUUGAAGAUCCUUUAUUAGGAUAAAUAGAGUUAGUUACUUUAGGGAUAACAGGGUAAUAGUUUUAGGGAGACCAAAUCUA
rnacentral:rRNA from 1 species